rfam:Pestalotiopsis fici W106-1 unplaced genomic scaffold PFICI_Scf_11, whole genome shotgun sequence.
GCGCUUAUAGUGUAGCGGUUAUCAUUCUUGCCUUCCAAGCAUGAGACUCGGGUUCGACUCCCGAUGGGCGCA